rnacentral:rRNA from 1 species
CAAGAGCGUAUAUUAAAGUUGUUGCAAGUUAAAAGCUCGUAGUUGGAUUUCUGGUACAACGCGCCUGGCCCGCUUUUGUGAGUGCCGGUGCGCCGGUUUUGCCAUCCUUUCUAGGAAAACGUCUCUACUCGGGCAACUGGGCCGGAUUCGCGAUCUAGAUCUUUUACUUUGAAAAAAUUAGAGUGUUUAAAGCAGGCUAUUGCCUUGAAUACAUUAGCAUGGAAUAAUAAUCUAGGACUUCGGUUCUAUUUUGUUGGUUCUUAGUACUGAAGUAAUGAUUGAUAGGGAUAGUUGGGGGUGCUAGUAUUGGCCGGCCAGAGGUGAAAUUCUUGGAUUCGGUCAAAGACUAACUUAUGCGAAAGCAUUCACCAAGGAUG